rnacentral:miRNA from 1 species
UCAUCUGAGGACCUAGUUAAAUGUAGGUUCUGAUUAAGUAGGUCUGGGAUUCUGCCUUUCUAACAAGCUCCCAGGUGAUGCCA